rnacentral:lncRNA from 1 species
AAUUACUAAUCGAUCCUCCUACAACACUUGCACUAGGUUAAAUGUCAAUCGUAUUGAUUAUUUAACCCUAGAAUGAUUCUUAAUCGUUGAUCAACCAUCUGAUCGGAUCAUGAACUCUAAUGUGUGUAAUAUCAUAGGUCCAAACCUAAGUCGGUAUCAUAAAAAUAAAUUUUUGUACCAAUCAAAGUGACCAUCUAGCAAUGGUACCCGAUGAUCGGAUAGGUCGAAUGUGUAGAACAACAUCCUUAAAACCCAUGCGGAU